AUUGAACGCUGGCGGCAGGCCUAACACAUGCAAGUCGAACGAGGCGCGGACGGGUGAGUAAUGUCUGGGAAACUGCCUGAUGGAGGGGGAUAACUCCUGGAAACGGUAGCUAAUACCGCAUACCAUCGGAUGUGCCCAGAUGGGAUUAGCUUGUAGGUGGGGUAAAGGCUCACCUAGGAGACGAUCCCUAGCUGGUCUGAGAGGAUGACCCGCCACACUGGUACUGAGACACGGCCCAGACUCCUACGGGAGGCAGCAGUGGGGAAUAUUGCGCAAUGGGCGCAAGCCUGAUGCAGCCACGCCGCGUGUAUGAAGAAGGCCUUCGGGUUGUAAAGUUCUUUCGGCGGGGAGGCGUUACCCGCAGAAGAAGCACCGGCUAACUCCGUGCCAGCCGCCGCGGUAAUAC
rnacentral:rRNA from 1 species